rnacentral:rRNA from 1 species
UUGUCCAUCGGAUAACCCGUCGAAAGGCGGCCUAACACGAUAUGCGGUUCUCAGCAGGCAAUCUAACGAGAACGAAAUGUGAAGGAGAAGGGAUGGGGAUGCGUCUGAUUAGCUGUUGGCGGGUAACGGCCCACCAAGGCGACGAUCAGUAGGGGUUCUGAGAGGAAGGUCCCCCACAUUGGAACUGAGACACGGUCCAAACUCCUACGGGAGGCAGCAGUGAGGAAUAUUGGUCAAUGGGCGAGAGCCUGAACCAGCCAAGUAGCGUGCAGGAUGACGGCCCUAUGGGUUGUAAACUGCUUUUAUAAGGGAAUAAAGUGAGCCUCGUGAGGCUUUUGCAUGUACCUUAUGAAUAAGGACCGGCUAAUUCCGUG